UCGAGUCCGAGACCAAAGUAAUAUAAAUUUGGACUUGAAGAACCAAACAAACAUGGAAAAAAAAAUCUUGAACCAAACUACAUAUAAUGCAUAGGGUAUAUGCGUUAUAUGCGUCUGGGCAAAGGGGCCUAACAGCCGUUAACCGGCCCAAAGUGAUAUAACGCAUGGUGGCAUGCGCUAUAUGUCCCAUAUUAAACCUCUUCUUCCCGACAGAAAGGACACAAUACGGUCGCUCCCCCAUUUUAAAUUUCGCCCGGCUUGUGAAGGUCCUACCAUGCGAAUUGUUUAAGUUUUCUACCAAAAAACACAAGAUUCAAGGUAUAUUCAAGGCGUAGAAGAAGAAUUUUGCUCGAAUUUCGGGGAAAAUGGAGCAUUUCGGCCACAUUGAAUAUUGAGGAAAAAGAUUCAAGCUUGAGGUUUGGAGCCCCGAGGGCUCAGAUGAGUUUCAGACAUAUUUCGAAAUGAAUUGAACUGAAAAUAGAAUUAAUGGUGUUGCUGGUGCUCUAGUAUCGCAAUUGCGAGAAUCAGCCUCACAAUGAAGCAAUUUUAGGAGGUCCCGAUAGACAGGUUGACAGUCCUCUUAGUAGGCUAUUAGAUCAGCG